GUACAACAAGCUCGGUUGAAAAUCACGCAUUCAUCCAACAAACGUGAACUCACACAUAGAACAAUCAUCCAACACGCAUUCAUCUCUCACUCACACAACUCUCUGCACUGCAUCGGAAACUCUACGCCACUCAUCGGUCGUCUUCACCGCCGUGACUGAGCUUCCGGAACACCACUAACCCUCGCCUCACUCUCCUUAGGACGUGGUGGCGUGCAACAAAGCAGAAUCGAAGAACGAUAAGGAGGAAUAAGAGACUGGAAUAGAGUUGAUUGUGUGGGAGAAUCGAACGUGACAUCGUUUGUUGCUCACUGAAGCAGUUGCUACAGGGCAAGUUGCUAGCAAAAUGCUUCUUUUAAGCUGUGUUCGGAUGGUGUCUGAGAAGUGCCACCUUAGGGGAAAGAUUGUUUCCAAUGGCUGUGUUGGUACUCUUUUGGAGGAGCGGUUAUAUAAAGGGUCUGAAUUUUAUUAUUUCUGUAGAGUGAUAAAAAUUAGGCAUUUGAAACUCACCAAAUCAUGAUUCAAUAUCGUAUAAACUGUUAAUAUACUCUUCAGCAAGGAAUCUGCAUUAUUUCUAUGCAUGUUAUCCAUUCAAAAUUGUGCAGGCUAUAGUUGCAUUACAUGAAGGACUAAAGAUGCGUGUGAUCAUUGACUAUAUUCUUAAGAUUUGCAGUGAUGAAUAUGACACAUGAAUGCACGCUCCUUGGAAUUUAAGCAGAACUUUCGGUGAUCAUGCUAGACCUUAACAUGAUCUUGGAUCACUCUAUUUGUUGAUCAGUAUGUUGCACAAGUAGCAUGUGCGGUUCCAUGCUCACUCGUCAUUAUUGUUUGAGAAAAAAUGCACCUGCCUCAAGAGGAGAGAAUUUGAAGACUAUUUAAAUGUAGAUUUAUGAAUGCUUUUACUCGGUUUAGUUCCUGCACGAGAAGAUGAUUGUAGAAAUAAAAGGAAUUAUCAUCCUGUGAUUUCUUGCAAAUUUAUUUGGAAAAGUAUAUACACAAAUUAUCUGUGUAUUUACCUACAAAUUUUUCUGUUGCAAAAUGAUUUAGGAAAUGAUUUGCUGUGAAAUUACCUGCGGAAGCCUAGCUGUGAAGUUUGGAUCUUGUUGCACUUUUGUGGCAUUUAAACUGUGUCA